rnacentral:rRNA from 1 species
GACGAACGCUGGCGGCGUGCCUAACACAUGCAAGUCGAACGGAACUGUUUUGAAAGAUUUCUUCGGAAUGAAUUUGAUUUAGUUUAGUGGCGGACGGGUGAGUAACGCGUGAGUAACCUGCCUUCAAGAGGGGAAUAACAUUCUGAAAAGAAUGCUAAUACCGCAUGACAUAUCGGAACCACAUGGUUUUGAUAUCAAAGAUUUUAUCGCUUGAAGAUGGACUCGCGUCCGAUUAGUUAGUUGGUGAGGUAACGGCUCACCAAGACCGCGAUCGGUAGCCGGACUGCGAGGUUGAACGGCCACAUUGGGACUGAGACACGGCCCAGACUCCUACGGGAGGCAGCAGUAGGGGGUAUUGCGCAAUGGGGGCAACCCUGACGCAGCAACGCCGCGUGAAGGAUGAAGGUUUUCGGAUUGUAAACUUCUUUUAUUAAGGACGAAAAAUGACGGUACUUAAUGAAUAAGCUCCGGCUAACUACGUG